rnacentral:rRNA from 1 species
GAUGAACGCUGGCGGCGUGCCUAAUACAUGCAAGUCGAGCGAACAGACGAGGAGCUUGCUCCUUUGACGUUAUCGGCGGACGGGUGAGUAACACGUGGGUAACCUACCUAUAAGACUGGUAUAACUUCGGGAAACCGUAUCUAAUACCGGAUAAUAUUUCUAACCGCAUGGUUCGAUAGUGAAAGAUGUCUUUUCUAUCUCUUAUAGAUUGACCUGCUCCGUAUUAGCUAGUUGGUAAGGUAACGGCUUACCAAGGCAACGAUACGUAUCCGACAUGAGAGGGUGAUCGGCCACACUGGAACUGAGACACGGUCAAGACUCCUACGGGAGGCAGCAGUAGGGAAUCUUCCGAAAUGGGCGAAAGCAUGACGGAGCAAAGCCGCGUGAGUGAUGAAGGUCUUCGGAUCGUAAAACUCUGUUAUUAGGGAAGAACAAACGUGUAAGUAACUGUGCACGUCUUGACGGUACCUAAUCAGAAAGCCACGGCUAACUACGUG